UUUUCCCGAUUGCUAACUGCUCGCAGUGAAAUGACAUAUGAGGAUAUGUUGGUGAAACGGCUCCCUCCGGUUCAAAUAUUGAGCAUCAAGCCUUUGACGCUAUUAAUACGCAGGCUUCGAUUGAUCCAGACAGCGCAGCCGAUGAUUUUAUACAAUUCAUCACCCAACCCGGCUUUCAGACAGUUAUCGAUCUCACGCAAGAUGCCGACGAAGAUCCCACCGUCAACGUAACAGACAAACCUCACAUCCUACCUGAUUCCACUCCGGCUCACAUCGAGAAUCCGAUAGGAUCCCGCGACGAACCACUUCCAGGACCCGGCGACGAACCACCAAGAAAGAAGACUAGAAAAACGAAUCCCCCCACCUCUCCGGUCAGUCCUGGACCGCGUGGCGAUCCACCAAGAAAGACUUAUCGUUUUACAGCGGUGGUCCGACCUGAACCAAACGCUGAACUACCUAGAAAGGCUUAUCGUUUUACCCCGGUGAUCAGUCCUGAGAGCUCUCCAGAGAGGAAAACUCUCUGUCUGACACCACCGAACAGCCCGGCGACCAGUCCUGAGACCGAGCUGUUUUACGACUCGAGUAGAAGCCAUAAGGAUGACGUGACUACCUGGGGGCCGUCUCAAAUCGAUGCAUGGGACCAGAGUUCUUGGACGAGCGAGCGUGAAGAGGCAUCUGCCACCAACGUGGGUCAAACACCGUAUCCUUCUCCCUCACCGUCGUCGGAAGAAGUAGAAGUGGAAGAAGUACCGGCGCCUCAGCCGGUUGAUGAACCAUUCGAUGAUCUGCCUCCGUUUCAUAGCCCCAUUAAUUCGUUACAAUCAUUUGGUCAAGAGUUUCGCGAUGCUCAGGUCGACAUAAACAACAAAUACAUCGAACUCCGUGACAUACAAGAUGAUAUUAACAACAAAUUGAUUGCAUUGCGCAGUGAGUCUCGUGACAGACAAAUCGAAACCCUUAGCAGAUUAGACGCGCUGCACGGGGAGCUCCGUGCGUAUCACCUCGAGACACGCAGUCGAUUCGAUGCUCAGGAUCGCUUUAUUCAUGAUCUGGCCAAUGAAAUAUUCCAUCGCGUUAAUGCUAUGAGAUCGACAAUUGAUCAGCAGUUUGAUAGAAAUGAUCUUAUGGUGACUCAAUACCAAAGGCAACUGAUGCUUAUAUUACAUCAUCUUAUUCUCACCAUCAUAGAUGAGACCGCGGAGUCAAAUUGAAUAUAGAAGUAUUCCGAGCAAUUCUUAUAUUCCAUCUAUACUUUUGUUUACAUAUAAUCUGAUAUUUCAAGUAAUUCUUAUAUCUCACGUCUGCUAUGAUUGUUUAAAUAUUUCAUGUAUGCUUUUUAUACUUUGUUUUACAUAUAAUCCGAUAUC